AACGUAGGAGACAAACGUUAUCCGGAGUUACUGGGCGUAAAGGGCGUGUAGGUGGUGCUGUAAGUCUGGCGUGAAAUUUUUCGGCUUAACCGGGAAAGGUCGUCGGAUACUGCAGGACUAGAGGACGGUAGAGGCGUGUGGAAUUCCGGGUGUAGUGGUGAAAUGCGCAGAUAUCAGGAGGAACACCGGUGGCGAAGGCGCUGCUCUGGGCCGGUACUGACGCUGAGGAGCGAAAGCGUGGGUAGCAAACAGG
rnacentral:rRNA from 1 species